rnacentral:rRNA from 1 species
AGCGAACGCUGGCGGCGUGCUUAACACAUGCAAGUCGAACGCGCAGCACUUUGUAGCAAUACAGAGUGUGGGCGCGUGGCGAACGGGUGCGUAACACGUGGGCAACCUUCCCUUCGGUGGGGGAUACCCUCGCGAAAGCGAGACUAAUACCGCAUAACAUUCCCUUGGUUACGACUGGGGGAUUCAAAGCAGCAAUGCGCCGGAAGAGGGGCCCGCGGCCGAUUAGCUAGUUGGUGAGGUAACGGCUCACCAAGGCUUUGAUCGGUAACCGGUCUGAGAGGACGAUCGGUCACACUGGAACUGAGACACGGUCCAGACUCCUACGGGAGGCAGCAGUGGGGAAUAUUGCGCAAUGGGCGAAAGCCUGACGCAGCGACGCCGCGUGGGGGAUGAAGCUUUUCGGAGUGUAAACCCCUUUCGACCCGGACGAAAGCCCGCAAGGGCCUGACGGUACGGGUAUAAGAAGCCCCGGCUAACUACGUGCCAGCAGCCGCGGUAAAACGUAGGGGGCCAGCGUUGCUCGGAAUUACUGGGCGUAAGGGGUCUGUAGGCGGUGCGGCAAGUCAGAAGUGAAAUCUGAGGGCUCACCCCUUAGACUGCUCCCGAAACUG